CUCCUGGAACCAUAACUACUGUAACAGGCUGUAGUGUUUAUGGUACUUGGAUCGUUCCUUUCAGGGAAUUUUAUGACAAAGUGAAAGGGUUAUACUAAUGUACGUGCAUUUACUGAAAACAUGUCCUUGAGUUCUGUACUUCUCUUUUAAAUGGGAAAAAAAAUUAGCAAUGAAAUUUAAAUUAACCCAAUGAAUUUAUUGAAUAAAACCUCAUUUAAGG